GAGUUUGAUUAUGGCUCAGAUUGAACGCUGGCGGCAUGCUUUACACAUGCAAGUCGAACGGCAGCACGGAAGAGCUUGCUCUUUUGGUGGCGAGUGGCGAACGGGUGAGUAAUACAUCGGAACGUACCGAGUAGUGGGGGAUAACUGUCCGAAAGGAUGGCUAAUACCGCAUAUUCUCUGAGGAGGAAAGCAGGGGACCUUCGGGCCUUGCGCUAUUUGAGCGGCCGAUGUCUGAUUAGCUAGUUGGUGGGGUAAAGGCCUACCAAGGCGACGAUCAGUAGCGGGUCUGAGAGGAUGAUCCGCCACACUGGGACUGAGACACGGCCCAGACUCCUACGGGAGGCAGCAGUGGGGAAUUUUGGACAAUGGGGGGAACCCUGAUCCAGCCAUGCCGCGUGUCUGAAGAAGGCCUUCGGGUUGUAAAGGACUUUUGUUCAGGGAAGAAAAGCUUGAGGUUAAUACCCCUUGAGUGAUGACGGUACCGAGAANG
rnacentral:rRNA from 1 species